ACCAACCAGAUUUAUCAAUAUCAAUAUUUAGCAAACAGUAAAUGCAUUAACCAAAUGAUCCAGCAAAAGUUAAGAUUCAAGCAAAUUAACAUUGGUUAAAGUCACAGACAGAGCAAAAAACAGAUUCUGUGUACUAGGGAAGAUUUUACAUAUGACUGCUAUUGACACUACCAUUUUAUUCCAGAUUGAUUUAAUUUAAUUCAUUUAAAUCCUCCAGCUGCCAUGGUGGGAUAUGAAAUUUGAACUUGCGUAACUGGAUGAUGUCCAAGGUUGAUUACAAGAUUCCAGAACAACUGUUUAACCAUGAUAAGAACAUAGAUGGAACACACCCACAACAAGUAUGAAAUCAAGAGAUAAGGUAGACAAAAAUGCUGGAGAAACUCAGCGGGUGAGGCAGCAUCUAUGGGACGAAGGAAUAGGUGACGUUUCGGGUCGCGACCCUUCUUCAGACUUAUUCAGAGCACUUGGGAAUAUAGUAAAAAAAA